AGGAGGCUGAACUCCUACUCAGACUUGCGUCUUCUGACUCUAAGUCCAGUGCUCAGGCCUCGUGGUAUUAGUCAGUUGACGCUAAGGCCAGCCUCAUACUCCACAUUUUCGGGGUUGAAGGCCAGGGCACUUCUUUCCACUACUACUCAGCUGCCUCCUGUCUAGGAAAAUGCUUUUUUGGGCCCAGAGAGACAGCCACAGAGAAAUGUGUUGUUGGCAUCGAUUUCCUAUUGUUGGGCAAUGGUUUCCGCCAUCUGGACCAGGUGACGUCAGUGGUCUGGAUUUCAGCCAGUGUUCUUUGGCCCAGGAAACAGACUUCCGGCUGGGUGGGCUCUGAGCCAUCUCUGACCUCCUGGAGGGAAGGUCUCUCAAGUUGCCAAGAGAGGAACUGAAAAAUGAGAUCUCGGGGAAGAUUUUACUACAGGAAAUCAGAGUCUUGCAAAAUUUCUUUGGGCUUCACUAAGUUCCUAAGGUUGGCUGUAAACCUGCAAUCCUCCUGCCUCAGCGUCCUGAGCUGCUAGGAUUACAGGAAUUCAGAAUCUUCCAGCCCCGGAAACCCAUUCUGGAUGAUGGAUCCUGAAAUGAACGGGUGGUUGAUGUGUACGCUCCUUUGGCCAUAUUUGCAGGAGGAAGAGCAGAACUUUGUAUGACCUUUAACAAAAAGCACUGGAGAGCUUUAUGAAUCUUCAGAAUCUUCUGGGGUUUUCUCAAUUGUGUUUAUACCGGGAGGCUGCUGCUUCCUGUUUGCGUUCUCUUACCACAAGUUAACGGCUGUUCCUACUUUCACUUAAGUUUCUAUCUUGUUCUGUGAGAAAUGUUUGAGCUGGCUGGGUGCCGCAGUCCGGCUGCAAACACUUCCUGAAACAACUUCUUAAAUCUCUCUCCAAAUACCUGCAUUUAUUGUGAAUUAAUAAAAUUGAGCUAUCAUCAAGAUCAAAAUGCCAGUCUUUAAAUUACCCCAAUUUAAAAAUGCCUAAAAACCUAUCACUUUCUCAGAAUUCUUCCAUUAAUUCCAUUACUUCUAUUCGAAAUGUGUUAGCAGUGACUUUCUUUUUGGACAGUUUCACAAAGAAACAAAGUCUUUAAAAAAAAAGUUGUAUCUGGUAGGUUCCAGCCCAGGGAACCACCCAUUAAGAAACACACAGCUGCUCUGGGGAUCUGGGUGGUCUCAUCACCCCAGUCACACAUAGCCAAGCAGCACAAUUCUUGCCUGUGCCUCAGCAAACCUGGUGCUCCCACUUAUCCUGGGAGCUUCACGGACAAUCUAAUCAAACCAGAAAGGUCAAAUUGGCAGAUGCCACACGCACUCUGCUGAAUAUCCAUAGCAAGGAGAUGAGAACCAGUAAUAAAGCUAUGCACGCCAUUAUUGCUUCAUUGAUCCACUGAAUAAUUCUAGAUAUGAUUGGUUGUAGCUACAGAAGUAAUGUCCAUUGUGCAUUAUAUGGGUAUUUUAGUGUGUGUGUAUUUUAGCCAAAUUAAUGAAAACAGUUCAAAUGUUGCUUCUUCACUGGUGACAGACAGAACACAUAUAGUUUGCUUCUUUACCU